rnacentral:rRNA from 1 species
UGGCGAACGGGUGAGUAAUACAUCGGAACGUGUCCUGUAGUGGGGGAUAGCCCGGCGAAAGCCGGAUUAAUACCGCAUACGACCUGAGGGAGAAAGCGGGGGGAUCUUCGGACCUCGCGCUAUAGGGGCGGCCGAUGGCAGAUUAGCUAGUUGGUGGGGUAAAGGCCUACCAAGGCGACGAUCUGUAGCUGGUCUGAGAGGACGACCAGCCACACUGGGACUGAGACACGGCCCANACUCCUACGGGAGGCAGCAGUGGGGAAUUUUGGACAAUGGGGGCAACCCUGAUCCAGCAAUGCCGCGUGUGUGAAGAAGGCCUUCGGGUUGUAAAGCACUUUUGUCCGGAAAGAAAACCUCGUGGCUAAUAUCCGUGAGGGAUGACGGUACCGGAAGAAUAAGCACCGGCUAACUACGUGCCAGCAGCCGCGGUAAUACGUAGGGUGCGAGCGUUAAUCGGAAUUACUGGGCGUAAAGCGUGCGCAGGCGGUCUGUUAAGACCGAUGUGAAAUCCCCGGGCUUAACCUGGGAACUGCAUUGGUGACUGGCAGGCUUUGAGUGUGGCAGAGGGGGGUAGAAUUCCACGUGUAGCAGUGAAAUGCGUAGAGAUGUGGAGGAAUACCGAUGGCGAAGGCAGCCCUCUGGGCCAACACUGACGCUCAUGCACGAAAGCGUGGGGAGCAAACAGGAUUAGAUACCCUGGUAGUCCACGCCCUAAACGAUGUCAACUAGUUGUUGGGGAUUCAUUUCCUUAGUAACGUAGCUAACGCGUGAAGUUGACCGCCUGGGGAGUACGGUCGCAAGAUUAAAACUCAAAGGAGUUGACGGGGACCCGCACAAGCGGUGGAUGAUGUGGAUUAAUUCGAUGCAACGCGAAAAACCUUACCUACCCUUGACAUGGCCGGAACCCUGCUGAAAGGUGGGGGUGCUCGAAAGAGAACCGGCGCACAGGUGCUGCAUGGCUGUCGUCAGCUCGUGUCGUGAGAUGUUGGGUUAAGUCCCGCAACGAGCGCAACCCUUGUCCUUAGUUGCUACGCAAGAGCACUCUAGGGAGACUGCCGGUGACAAACCGGAGGAAGGUGGGGAUGACGUCAAGUCCUCAUGGCCCUUAUGGGUAGGGCUUCACA